rnacentral:misc_RNA from 1 species
UCCGGUUUAUCACCGGCAGUCUCCUCAGAGUGCCCAGCUUUACCUGUUAGCAACAGGAGGCAAGGGUUGCGCUCGUUGCGGGACUUAACCCAACAUCUCACGACACGAGCUGACGACAGCCAUGCAGCACCUCUACACGGGUCCCGAAGGAAGACCUCAUCUCUGAGGCUGUCCCGUGCAGUUCAAACCCCGGUAAGGUUCUUCGCGUUGCGUCGAAUUGAACCACAUGCUCCACCGCUUGUGCGGGCCCCCGUCAAUUCCUUUGAGUUUCAGCCUUGCGGCCGUACUCCCCAGGCGGGGCACUUAAUGCGUUAGCGACGGCGCGGGGGGAGUCGACACCCCCCACACCUAGUGCCCAUCGUUUACGGCGUGGACUAC